UUAUGCAUUAACGGUAGAACAACGAGCACAGUCUGUGGAACCCGACCUCAAGGACGUACCAUUAUGUCCACUCUGUAUGAAGAACGAGCUGCGCGUGGACGGCUCGGGCAUGCGCAAAGGCCAAGAUAUUUGUGUGGAUUGCGAAAAACUUACUUGUGCGGAAUGUGGAUCUUUCGAAGGUUCACUUACGACUAGGGAAUGGGUGUGCAUGGCCUGCCAGAAGCGUCGGAAGUUGGUGCUAAGUAGUGGCAUGUGGCAUCCAGGAGUCGAGCCAGCGGCGGAAGUACCACUGUCGAAACAAAUAGAGACCCGGAUGGAAACAAUGAAAGAUAAAGGCAAUGGAAAACAACUAUCAGAAAGAAGCAGUGGUAAACCUUCGACAGAUAAAGGAAAUGGGCGGAAUUACACUGAAAGGUCAAACGGGAAAAACCAGGCAGAGAAAGGAAACGGGAGAAAUUCAUCUGAAAAAGCAAACGGGAGAAGUGCAUUGGAUAAACCAAAUGGACGAAGUGCACCUGACAGAGGUAGUAAACAUUCGCUUGAUAGAUCUUCUUCAGAAACCGAACAAGUGAGAACAAAACCACCUAUACCGAAAAAACCAGCAUGUCUGCUACAACACCAAACAUCUUUACCCACCACCGUUGUUCCACCAGUACCGGCACCCCGGCCCGGCCUACCGCCCAAAGACACACAGAAAAGCGCAGAAGGCAGCCGGGAAUCCCUAAUAGAUAGCCCAGUGUCGGAAGAUGGACCAUCUAGUUCCGGUGGUCAAUCGAGACUCCGAGGGGUCCUCAGGACUAUGGUCGGCAGCUGUGCGAUGGGCCAAGGUGCCAGGAGUGAUUCGGAAACCUCUGCGUCUGAUGUGGAUAUGGAAGAUGUCUCUAUGCACUAUUACCAAGGCGAUGGGAUGAGUACGGACGAUGUAAGUGAUGAUUAUUCGAUGAUGAGCAUCGGAAGUAGUGAUGACAGUGGUAGACUUCGCAGGAAACAUCGCCCGCGGUCUCUCAACAUCCCGCGUUCUCACAGCGCCACGUCAUCGGAUGACGAGACCACGGAUAGCACCAUAAGUACAGACACUGAAAACCGAUUAGCUCCUCUGGCCGUCAUGAACGAGGCAAGAGUCGCAUUAGCUGCUAGUGCAUUCGCAGAGGAAAUGGAAGACUUCAAAGGAGAGUCUUCUAUGGAUGAAGUUAUGGACAAAUAUGAUUCCGAUGUGCAAGACGAUUUAAAGUCGCAUAUGAGUCCAUCGCCCCCGAGAAGUCCGAGUUGGAGGGCAGGUUUAGAGAGUCCACCAUUUUCGCCAAAACGUAAGGAUUUGUAUCCUGGUAAAAAGCGCCCCUCGUCUCCGGUGUCUCCAAAAGACAGUCGCUUGCAAUUUACGUACGACGUGUCACCCCCAGUCCGCCAGCUAUCGGUUGAAGAGUUGUACGCUGAGGCACAUGCACUCGGCGAAGCAGGCUACGCUGUCAUGCCAUUAGUUCAAAAACCUUCUCCGAUAUCGCCAGAGGAACUUGUUGAUGAUAUGAUAACAACAAUGGGUGAACCUUUCCUUCUUAAAAUGCCCGAAAGUAAACCGUGUCAUAAUCUUCAUGAACUCGACACUAGUCAUAUAGAUCUCCCCGAUACUGCUGUAGCUAUUGACCUCGCUACAUACGCUGCUACAAUUGCGAGUAACACUGCUAAUCUCACACAAAUGACCGUGUCACCCACUAACCUACAAGUUUUACCCGUGCAUGAACAUGACCAGAUUUCCCCAGAUUCGCAGGAUACUGAAAGCACUGAAAGCGCGUCGCCGAUUUCACCAAGUUAUUAUGAAAAUGGAUCCGAUGAUAUGGACGAGGUUGAACUAGCAGAUCCAUCUUCAAAAGCAAUAGAUUAUCAGGGUUCAAAGCGCCAAAAGGUGCGGCCUCCCUCAACCGACUGGUCUCCAGUGAUUGACUUGUCUCCUAUUUUAGACGUAUCGCCGUCAAUCGAAGAAGCAGAACGUGUCGACAUGUUCGAAAAGCAGGAGGAAGAACGACGGAGGAGAGAGUCACAGGAGGAAGAUGAGGACGAUGACGAAGAUUAUGAUAGUUAUUUUCAGCCUCUCGAAGAAGAUGACGAACAAAAUUCUUAUUAUGGUCUUAAGAGGUAUGAUAGGGUAGAAAAUAUAUGUCAACUUUUACAAAGCAAUGGCCCGAACGUUAGUGAUGGUCUUGCGAGUUCUUCGGAGGCAGCUUGCAUGGCGUUGGAUGAUAGUGGUUUGGUUAAUGACAUGGCAGGUCAUCCUUUUACAUGUACAACGCUAGCCUCAAAGUCGGUGACUAAGGACGUAAUAUUGAAAAGUCAACCAUGUAGUUCAGAAGUGCAAACAAUUACAUCUAAUAAUCAACCAAAAGUAAGUUUAAUUCAGAGUAGGGUUAAUUCGUUAGAACAACCCGAAAAGGGUGCUUCCUGUUCUGCUUCCUCUUUGUCAACUACAAAACAAAGUGAACCCAAAGAAAAACCUCCUAAGCCUGCUAUACGACCGCGGAGAAAGUUACCAGAACCUACCGCAGAAAUGAUAGCUGCACAUACGAAAAAGCACUCGAAAUCAUCAGGCAAAUACCACCAAAGUGCACAAUCGUCGGUUGGUGCUUCUUGCUCUUCUGGAUCAUUUGUGAAAAUGGUACCCCAUUCGGGUGAUGUUCCUCAACGACCGGAUGGUAGAAAUAGCGACACGAAUAAUAACAACAACAAUAAUAAUAAUAACAGCAAUAUGAAUAUGGUGCAAGAUUUGGCAAAGGGUGUUGAAUCGGAUGAUAAGAGGAAAAAGGCCAAAGACAUGAAAGCGAAACCAAAUCCACUAGUCAUACGACACAUCGAGUCGGAGGACCAGAGCAUGUCUCCCCAGUAUAAGGUCCUGGACUCACCUCCGAGUCCGGAGUCCCGCUCCUCACUGAAGAGGGACUAUUCUGACAGUACAUCUGUGUCUCCCUCCUCCUCCCCUGAUCGGGAGGUGUAUCCCUUCCCGUCACCUGUCACCCCUCCCGACUCUGACUCCUCCCCACCCAAGCCUCAUUCUCCCUCCUCACCGGGUACAGACUUUGAUGAGGAUAGCACUUACGAAAAACCCACUCCAUCUAAACGCUUGCCACACCUCAAUAAGACCUUUGAGGAGAAAUCUUUGGCCGAGACCAAGGUCAAGGACAAAAUCAAGAAAUUCGAGCAGGUGUCUCAAGAAUCAAAGAAGACGAGAAGAAAAUUACCUCCGAUUCCUACUGGUGACGAAUCUUCAAGCAGUUCUAAACAAAAGAGUCAAACUUCAUCUUCCCGAAAACAUCACACUCACGUUAGAUCUGAAAACCGCCGGAAGCGUACCGGGUAUGGUACACCUUCCUCUACAAGCGACGAAUCUAUGAAUGAGGAUGAUUUUGAGGUUGCGAUGUGGACAAAUCAUCACCAUAAAAGCCAUACGAGGAUGAAUGAUCUGGAUAAGCCAGCAUCAAUGGAUAAGCGAAAUGGAAACUACAUACCUGCUGGGGAUUCCUCCAAGGACAAGCCAAUGAAGGCAGUGAAAGCAAAUAUACCUCUAGAUAAAAAUAUACUGAUGGGAGCGAUUGGCAUAUCUGAACGGAAUGACCAAAGAAGUAAGGACAGGGAAGAAACUGAUGAAAUGAUUGAUUCCAUGAUCAACAUAUACGGUGUGCCAAUAACACAAGCUAUGAAAUCGCUCAAAAGAAGACUACAGGACGAGCUCCGGAAGGCAACUGAAGGACGACGAAGAAGAAUUGAGGAGUUUGAAGAAAUACGGGCUCUUCAACUGCAAAUAGGAGAACUUAAACUCAGUUCAGACUAUGCCAAAUCCCAAUUAAAACGAUCUAUGCAGCAAAGACCUAAUAAAACUAGUCUUGGACAAAACGGCAAGAAGCGCGGUACUUCACCUUUACAGUCCGCGCGUUCUUCACCUCAGGUGUUACCAAGGCGUUCACGACACAAGCGCCAGACGUCGGAUCCAAUGAUAUCUAAGUUUUCGCCUAUUAAGGAGGAUAAAGACGUUGAAUCUGAUUUUCAAUCUAAGGGAAAGUCGGCUUCUGCAGAGCAGACACAUAUGAAAUAUAUAACGGACGAUAGCUCUCAAUCGGGUUUGAGUGACAAUGAAAGUAUACGAUCUGAACCUGUUUCAAAUGCACGUAACAAGAAAAUAAAACCUUCAGCUUAUGCAAAAAUGUUUUUUAAUGCCUCCUACGAUGAAUCGAAGGGACCAGAAGUGGAACAAUCUACAUUACCUGGAACAAAAUCAAAAAGUCGAUCCGAAUCACACAUACCGCAAAAAGUGAAAAAGGCCACUCGUUCUCCUUCGUGUUUUGGAGUCGAAGAGGAAAUUAAAGUACGCGAAGAUAGAAAACAAGAAUUGCAAAAUGAAAUUGAGAAAAGGAAGAAGCAACUCGAAGAAACAUCCAGACUUCAAGCAGAGUUACUAAACCUGACACGUACUUCCGGUCAUGCUAUGGCCCAUAGCUAUGAUGAUCUGCCACGAACGGCAAAUUACAGCUAUCCUGCAGCCCGACCUAUCCCAACCGGCAUAAUUAAACCUUUAGAAGACGACGAGGAAAGUGAGUUCGACUACCUAAGCAGACGUCUAGAUGAUGAUAAAGGAUCAUGGGAUAACUUCCAGCAGCAGGCAAACUAUAGUUCAACCGAAUACUUAGCACAUAAACAAGAAACCUCGCGUAGAAGUCGAGUAGAAGAAAUGCAUUCUGCGUAUUCUAGUCCUUUUCUUUAUAGUGGUAAUAUUGAUGAUCCCCAUGCGUUUAAACCUACGGCCCAACCGUCUGACUUCUUCCGGAAGUCUGACCCCAUCAGGGACCCCGUUAUGUCAAGCAGUGUCACGUUACCAGAGCUCCAUUCUGCCCGGACAGUCGACAUUGAGUAUCAGAAAAAGAAUACAUGUUCUGACACCGAAGCAAGUCCCCCAAGUGAUGCCACUCCCGCAAUGCCUUUGCUCGAUGAUGUCAAAGCCAGGUCACGUAAGAUAAUUCACGACAUUGGUUCCGGAAGUAGACCUGUUUCUGCUGAGUUCAACUUUACUGGAGGCGUAGAUGAUCUGAUGAACGCCAUCUACCGAGCAGAAAGUGACAACAGUGUGGAUGCUGACGAACCAAUCAUGAAGCACAUGAUGGAGGGAGGGGUCACAAUACUUAAACAACUUGAGAGGAAGAAACCGUUGAAACCUUCGCAGCCAAAGAAAUAUGAUUUCCCUACCAAGCGGAUCUUGCUUACCCGAGAUCCAAAAGACAGAUCCAUCAAAGCAGGUAAUGGGAUAGGGAUGAAGAUUGUUGGCGGCAAGACAGUGCCAUGGAAUAAUGAGGUGGGAGCUUACGUCACGGCCAUAUACCCUGGGGGCGUGGCUGAACAGUUGCACGGAGAACUCCAGGAAGGUGACCAAAUAGUGGAAUGGAACGGUAUCGAGUUGACUACCAAAACGUACGAGGAGGUUCAACAGAUCAUCGGGCAGCCCAAUGGCGAGAUAGAGCUGGUCGUUCGACCUGGACCUAGGUCACAUACAAAGGAGACAGAUCCAGGGAGCUGCCACUCAUCCUAUGAUAAUCUGGAGUUCGUGCCCGAUGACGUGUAUGAGAGGUGUUUGAAGUCCAACCACGGCGUAGAUCCUAAACAGCUAGCUGCCCAGUUAGAGGGUAUCCAGGAGAAGGACUCACCCGCCGAGUCGGCUUCCUCGUCCCAGCCCGAGUUCCUCACUCCUAGUAUGUCGUCCCCUUGUAGUUCCCCUCAUUCCGACCCUACCUCCACGUCCUCCGACCGACAGCGUCAGGCCAGCAUUCCUAGCAGCACGGAGAAGGAGAGACCAGCCGCUGUGGGCCCGUCUAAACCCCCAGAACUACCAGUAGAGGAAGACGAUAUACAGCCUGUUUUUGAGAAAGAAAGAACAAUGGGUGACAUACAGUUGCAACUUAGUCAUGAUGAUUUCGACAGUACCUUCAGUAUACACAUUAUUGCGGCCAAGAACCUUACCCCACAAGACAUGAACGGGCUAUCCGAUCCUUUUGUGAAGAUUUAUCUUCUUCCUGGUCGAUGUGCAGAGAAUAAGCGGCGGACCAAGCACAUAUCGAAAACGUUGAGCCCAGAGUGGUACCAGACAGUGGUGUUUCAGGACCUCCACAGAGAAGAGCUCCAAUACAAGACACUUGAGAUCACGGUCUGGGACUAUGACCGGUUUAAGGCUAACGACUUUCUCGGCGAGGUCAUCAUUGACUUGUCGGUGCCUGGUUUCCUUGACAAUUUGCCACACUGGUAUCCAUUACGUGAACAUGACAACACUACUGGUGUGGAACUUCCAAAGCCAACGGUGCUGCCACCUACCAUAAGGUCUGUACAAAACACCAUCCGAACAGGAUCACCGAAUCAGUCGAGAGGCAGCAGAGAUUCCCCGAGCAAACAGUAUCGGGGUAAUAAAGGAGAUGGACUAGGGGGUAGAAGAAGGUCGUUAGGAGCUUUGACAGAUGUCGACAGACUAACUACCUCUGAAUCUAUGGACAUCUCCUCGACUCACUCUUCGCCUCUUCUGCCGCACAAACCACGUGACAUGCACCUUCAGUCGUCUGAGCAUGCUCCUGGGGUAUGAAGACAGUGUGGCAAUAUCAUUCAUUCGGAUGAAGAGAGCUAUUGUUUUCAGGUUAGUUUCCUAGCUAUCUGUGAUAUUUUCACCAACCCUGGUUACAUGAUUUUGGACUAUGAUGCAUGAAAUACAUGUCAAGAUUGAUCCAUCACCGAACCCGUGUAUGUCAAGACUCUUCACGUAUGUCUGCCCCCGGAACAAUGGAUGUCAGGAGCGUUUCUGUCUGUCUUUCACCGAACCAAGGUGUGAUGGAGUUUGCCAUUUCUAUAAGUCGUUGAAACUAGGUAUACCAUGCAUGGGCAGUUGUGUUCUCUACCUACCCAAAGAAUGUUAAGACCGGUAAAUAUUGUGCUAUACAGAAUAAACAUAUAUCAGGAGUGGUCAGUUCUGACUGCAAAUGAACCAAAGCCUGUCUGGAGUGGUCAGUUAUGUAACCCUCGAACCACCUUCUACGAUCAUAUAUCACCACGGAAGCUCAUUAAGGCAAUGUUUCCUUUGUACAAUAUUCAAAACGAUUGCGAGUCUUCAAUAACAAAAUUUACAUCGUAGUCAGUAAUGAUGCUGUUCAGUUUGUCGCUGCAAGUGUAUUUCAAUACCAAAUUAUGACCUACAUCCGGUGUUCCAUUAUCAUAUGUUUACAGAUAAAGAAGACGAUGUUGUAACAUAUGAAUUAAUUGGUGACAGAAUUAUGUUUUCUCCACAUUGUUCUAAAUAAUUACUACAUUCUUGGAAAAUACUACAAACAGUAAAUGAAAGAAUUCUACUUAAAAUAAAUCAACCAUCAGUUUAAUCCAUACUCACCAAAGAAGAAUAAUAAUUAUUAUUAUGCUUCCAUAUGCCGCAUUUAUUUGAAGGUAUUAUGAAAUCGUAUAUUUGAAAAUUCUCGAGUGUGGAAGUUCUUGUGCUGUGAUUCUCUAAGCUGAACUCGGUGUUGAAAUUUUUCGCGUUUGCAAUGUUUAACAAAAACUGUGUAUUCAAUAUAUCUAAAAUUAAUAAUAUCUUUAAGUAAAUAUUUGUAGAUUAGUUCCCUCCAGGCGCAAAAAGCCAGCAUUUCCAAACCGCGAAAAAGUCCACCUUUACAGUAACAAUGUAUACGAAGAAAGUAUAAAUGUGUUGCUAUUCGGCAGCCUGAGGUACAGUAUUUGGGUGUAUAGAGGAUUGAUUUGUCUUCAUGAGUCUGGUGUUCAGUGUGUUACAAUUUCUGCCGUUCACGAGUUAUUGUGUUCUCAAAUAUGUCCUGACUUUCAUCACAAAUAGAAAUACAAGAUAUACUUGCAACUUUUGUUAUUGAGUUUGAAAUGACAAAACAGAUCGAAAAUAAAGUUAAUGUAAGUAAUACCGAAUAAAAAUGUAUUUAAAGACAUUAUAUUUACAUUAAUAUAUAUUAUCAGCAAAUAUUUCGUCUUAUAGUGCUAUCAUAUGUACUAUUCUCAACGUAUGCAUUACUUGAUGGCAUUAAAUGGCACUGUGUAAGUCCUCAACACACCUAGAUGAGCUUGGAUUUCAAAUGAUGAUAAUUUCAGUAUUAUUCUAACCGCGCUCGAGUAAAAAAGAAUAGACUUUUUCUACCAUAUAAAUGCAUGACCUUCUUAUGUUAAACCUAUCUUCUCUAGUCAAUGUAUAAAAUGGUAGUCUGAAACAUUUAGAUCGUCCAUAAAGCGGGUAACAUUCCAUUUCAUUACAAGUACAUUAUGUACAAAUAUCAUCUUUCGCAGUUCAUUUAGCGAUUUCCUGUAUAUUUUAGAUAUUGUAUAUAUAUAUAUAGAGACUUAACAAACCUGAUGGAUCUCACCGUAACGAUACAUGUAUCUUAAAUUGUUAUUUAUCUUCUCUUGUAACAGUGAAACAUCAAAUUAACAACAACUCGUUAAAGUAACUAUCAGCAAAUGUAGACUAUUUACGUAGAAUACAUUCUUUGUAAUAGAUAAUAAACGGUUUAUAAAUAUUUAAUAGAAACAUUUGAUCGCGUUCUUCAUUUCUCCUGUCUCCAUCAGUAGAACUAUUUUUCUUCAUCAUAGAGUCAGUAAUUAAUAAAAAUUCACGAGACCAAAAGACGACACGUUAAUUGAUUCUCUCUUUUUUUCAAUGAAUGGUUUCUUUUUCAUUAAUACGGAAUUAAGUGACGUGAAUUAUAAGUAGAUUGUCACGUGAUCUUAUAUGCACAUUUACAUCGUUGAUAUAUCACGGUGAAUUGUUUCUAUUGUCAUAUCCCAUUGUUAUUCAAAUACAAUUGUGAUGUAUAACGAUUUUUCUAUGAAAUAUUUAGAUGUUAUGAGACUUGUAAUCUUAUACCAUGUGCAUUUAGUGAGAGAGAAAGAAGAUGAUUUGAAAGCAAUAGGUGGAAUGAAUCAUUUUUAUUGUUGGUCUAUUGACAAACAAUGAUAGAGUGAGAUGAAGGUAAAUCCUUAUCUUCGCUUUAUUGCAACAGGGAUGAACCGUAAAUUUAUUUAAGAAUUGCUGUAGGAUAGAUUCAUCAACAUUUCAGGCAAACAACAGUUUCAUGAUAGUUUGUAUAAGAAAGUUUUUUUCUUGCAUACCGUAAGUGCCAAAUGAUGAAUUCAUAUAAUUGUUUUAUUGUAUUUGUCUUCGUAUAGAAUUAUGUCAAAUGAAUGGUUAGCGUUAGAUUGGUAAAUGAUAAUCAUUUCAUUACAUAGGAUAUGAUUGCAAAUUUAUGAGAUAUAUAAUUUAUCAAUCGCCUUCCGUUUUUAUCAGGUUUAAGUGUACAAUGGCUGUCUUGUGCUUUUUGAUUGUAAAUGGAGUAACAAAAACGUAGAACUAUUUCCCCUUGUAACUAUUGUACAUGGAUUUUAUAAAAUGUUGACCAGUGCACAAUGUAUACAUGGAAGAACUUGUUCGCCAUGUUAAACAUUAUAUGUAUAGAAGUGAAUGUUUUGAACAAAUAAUGUAAACAUUGUCCUAAGCAACGUGCAUAUGUUUCACAUCGUAAUUUACAAAGUAUAUCUCUUGUCAAUGGUUUUGAUAUAGUAUCUGGUCCCUCAUUUACAUAUAAAGUAAAAUAAGUUCUUAUUCAUUCAAGAGCAAAAACCCAUUAAAUAUUUAUAUAUCUAUAUAUAUAUGUCUGUCAUAGCUCCUUUGUGAAGUUGAAUUCUCUUAUAUUGACGUCAGCACCGAGUGAUCUAGAUGUUUAUAGCUGCAGUUGCAAGUGAGAGAUUGUCUGUUGAUGGGUAGUUGUUAGUUGGAAAGAGUGGUGAGAAUGAUAUAUCAGCGUAAUUAUAACGCUGAGUUCUCUGUGAGGUCAGUUUCAUUGUGAUUCGGAUGUUCAUAUGUGCGUGCAUAUAUACACGUGAACGUAUAUUGGAUCGGUCUGUUCGGGCGCUAGGUUAGGCGAGUACAUGAUCGUCAUUGUUGUUAUCAUAUUUAUGUAUCGGACGUGAAGUAUGUCCUGAAUGAGUUGUUAAUAUUUUUAAUAAAAAUAUAAA
rnacentral:misc_RNA from 1 species